GACGAACGCUGGCGGCGUGCUUAACACAUGCAAGUCGAACGGAAAGGCCCUGCGUUUGUGGGGUGCUCGAGUGGCGAACGGGGGAGUAACACGUGAGUAACCUGCCCUUGACUGUGGGAGAACUUCAGGAAACUGGGGCGAAUACCGCAUAGGAUCUCCUGCUGCAUGUGGGGGGUUGGAAAGUGUCGGCGGUUGGGGAUGGACUCGCGGCUUAUCAGCUGGUUGGUGGGGUAGGGGCUUCCCAAGGAUUUGACGGGGAGCCGGCCUGAGAGGGUGACCGGCCACAUUGGCACAGAGAUACGGCCAAGAGUCAUACGGCCGGCAGGAGCGGAGACUAUACCACACAGCGCGGAAGCAUGAAUGAGCAACGCCGCGUGCGGGAUGACGGCCUUCGGGUUGUAACACGUUUUUGCCUGUGACGACGCGUCAGUGCCGGUACUGGGCAAAGAAGCACCGCCUACCUCCGG
rnacentral:rRNA from 1 species